UGGGGGAUAUUGCGCAAUGGGGGCAACCCUGACGCAGCAACGCCGCGUGAAGGAUGAAGGUUUUCGGAUUGUAAACUUCUUUCAUUAAGGACGAAACUUGACGGUACUUAAUGAAUAAGCUCCGGCUAACUACGUGCCAGCAGCCGCGGUAAUACGUAGGGAGCAAGCGUUGUCCGGAUUUACUGGGUGUAAAGGGUGCGUAGGCGGCUUAGCAAGUCAGAUGUGAAAUCUAUGGGCUCAACCCAUAAACUGCAUUUGAAACUGUAGAGCUUGAGUGAAGUAGAGGCAGGCGGAAUUCCCCGUGUAGCGGUGAAAUGCGUAGAGAGGGGGAGGAACACCAGUGGCGAAGGCGGCCUGCUGGGCUUUAACUGACGCUGAGGCACGAAAGCGUGGGUAGCAAACAGG
rnacentral:rRNA from 1 species